rnacentral:misc_RNA from 1 species
ACACCCUCAAGCCUGGCUUGGUAUUGGGCGCCGGGACUUCUUCCCGCGCCCCGAUUUCGCCGGCUGGACGACUCCGAUCUCUCAAGCGUUGUACAAUCUCGCUGGCGAGACGGGCGGCCACGCCGUAAACCUUUAAUCAAAU